CAGGGAGACAACAAAAUGUUUAAUAUUAUUAUUUUGUCACCUUAGGUCGAUCGGUAUCUCACGUUCUUAAUUUGUUAAGAAUUUCAUUUCCUAAGUUUUUCUAGGUCACACCCAUUAUUUUUCCUGGGCCAUUAGCUCAGGUGGUUAGAGCGCACCCCUGAUAAGGGUGAGGUCCCUGGUUCAAGUCCAGGAUGGCCCAUAUCUCUAUGUUGGGGGUAUAGCUCAGUUGGUAGAGCGCCUGCUUUGCAAGCAGGAUGUCAGCGGUUCGAGUCCGCUUACCUCCACUGAUUACCACCUCUUACAUAACUGGUAAAAAGGAAAUGUUUUGAGUUGUGAUCAUUAUUCUGAACGAAUCUAGCUUCCUAAUGAAAUCAUUAAGAUGCUGGACUCAUUGAAUUAAUUUCAUUGUUUUCAGGGAACCUUGACAACUGCAUAGAUUAUUUUUUAAAGACAAUAAGCAUCUUUAAUGAUGCAGAUUUAUUAUUUGUGCGAAUGCAUUAAUAACAAUUCUAUUAAGCUGAUGCUUCAAUUUUUUGAAGUUAUU
rnacentral:tRNA from 1 species